AUAAUCAAAAAACUUUUUUGAAUUAUUAUUUAGUCAUAUUUUAUUUUGAUCGUUUUUAAAAAUUGAAGGCUUCAGAAUACAUCUUAGAGGCGUUGGUUGAUCCAGCUGAUGAAAGAGGUAACUCUGGCGAAGGCAGCAGGGGAACCAACUUGGCAACCACGGGCAGAUCCGAAGGAAGUCACACCGAUCUGUUGUAAAGAAAAAUAAAUUAAUGACCAUCAUUCGCGGUUUGGUUCAUUUCAAGUUCCUGUAAAUUUGUAAAAUAGUUUAUUUACCAAGAUGCGUCUGUUGUUGCUGGUUACGACAAGAGGACCGCCGGAGUCACCCUGGCAAGUGCUUCUGCCGUUGGCGCCGCUGGUGCAAAUGUUGGAAGACUGGAUGAUGCCGGGGAAGGACACAGUGCAUACAGCGUUGGUGAUCACGGGCAAGUUGACGUGUCUCAAGUUACCGUCAACGCUUCCACC
rnacentral:lncRNA from 1 species